UCUCGAUAGCGUAAAAGUUAAAUUUGGAUGGAGUUGGAGCGUGUGCUUACGUUUGCCGCUAGGGGCGCUGUUCGAACUACAUACAAAUUUGAGUUAACUUUUACGCUAUCGA
rnacentral:pre_miRNA from 9 species